UCCCUGGUGGCUCAGACGGUAAAGCGUCUGCCUGCAAUGCAGGAGACCCAGGUUCGAUUCCUGGGUUGGGAA
rfam:TPA: Bos taurus chromosome 10, whole genome shotgun sequence.